UUAUUCAUUUAUUUGUUUAUAAUUAAAUAAUGAAACUUAUGUCAUCAAGAUGUGAAUUUUCCCCUUUUAAAAUAUUAAGCAAAUUUCAACUUUAAUUAUACUUGGUAAUUAAAGAUUUAAUUGGUAUUUGGAAGUUGAGGGAAAGGAGGAAUUUGGUGAAGAUAUUGGAGAAAUUUGAGAGAGAAGGGUGAAAUUUGGAAUUUAACAAAGAAGAGAAAAGAAGGGAAAUUAUUUUAUAAAAGGAAAAGAAAAGGAAAAAGAAAAGGAAAAGAAAAGGAAAAGAAAAGAGAAGAGGGAGAGAAGGGGAAACCCUAGCCGCCGCCGCCAAUCUCCACCGCCGCCGCCGCCGUCGCACGCCGCCGCAAGCCAGCCAUCGUAGAAGCCGCGUCGUACCGCGUCCGCCAGCCGAAGGAGCCGCGCCGCUUCGAUCUGAGGCAGGUCAGCCGAAACCCGUCGCGUCCCGAAGCCGAAUCCACCUCUGCGCCGAACGCGUCGCGAAGCCGAGAUCCACCUCCACGUCGAAGCCGCGUCGCCAGCCAUCGUCGUCUGCAUCCGAGCCGCGAACGCGUCUGCAAAUCCGAGCCGCGAACGCGCCUACACCCGAGCCGUAUCGAAGCCGCGAACGCGCCCGCCUCCAGCCGACGAACGAACCCGAACCCGGAACCGCCCGCGCGCUCGAACCUGGAACCGCCCGCGCGCCCGAACCCGGAACCGAACCCGCGCCCGUGCCACACGUGCCUGACUCUCCCGCGUGCAAGCGCGCCGCGCCGUGUGUUCCGCGUAGCCGAGCCGCGUCCCCUCCCUGUAGCAAGCCGAGCCGCACGCGAAGUCCCCAUACCGAGCCGAGCCGCGUCUGCACCAAGCCGAGCCGGUCCUGCCUUCUUCCAGCCGAGCCGCCAAGCCUGUUUUGGCUCCUUCCACCUAAAUUUUUGCAAAUUGGACCAAAUAGCUGCUGCAGCUUAGGACUUCCUCAGUAGGAACUCAUCUAGCAACAUCUCGAGGUAGAGGACGAGGCAAGGGCAAGGGCAAGCUGGCGAGCGACGUGAAGUGACCGUGGCGAGCCAUAGGGGUUUUCCUGCUUCCGCACAUGUUUUACCUUACAGUUAAAUUCAUGUUUCGGCUUUCUGCAUGUUUACUUUGGUUAUUUUUGUAGAUAGGGCCCGCUUAGGGAUUUUAAACUUAACUCGUAUUUCUACAUGUUACUUUAACUAUCUUUCAUAAAUACAUUUGCUAGAUUUCUUUGCAUUUAUUUACACC